rnacentral:rRNA from 1 species
UCCGACCUCAGAUCGGACGAGAUUACCCGCUGACUUUAAGCAUAUCAC